rnacentral:rRNA from 1 species
GUCGAGAAUAAUUCACAAUGGACGAAAGUCUGAUGGUGCAACGCCGCGUGGAGGAUGAAGGUCUUCGGAUUGUAAACUCCUGUCAUCGGGGAGUAAGACCUGGCGGUAAAUAGCCGACAGGGUUGAUAGUACCCGAAGAGGAAGGGACGGCUAACUUCGUGCCAGCAGCCGCGGUAAUACGAAGGUCCCAAGCGUUGUUCGGAAUCACUGGGCGUAAAGGGAGCGUAGGCGGCGGGGUAAGUCAGGUGUGAAAUCCCGGGGCUCAACCCCGGAACUGGAGCUGAUACUGGCAUGGUUGAGGGUUGGAGAGGUAGCUGGAAGUCUCGGUGUAGCAGUGAAAUGCGUGGAUAUCGAGAGGAACACUCGUGGCGAAGGCGAGCUACUGGACAACAUCUGACGCUGAGGCUCGAAGGCCAGGGGAGCAAAAGGGAUUAGAAACCCCUGUAGUCC